GCCGUGCCGCGUGCUUACAAUGCAAGUCGAGCGGAAGGUCCUGCUUGCUUGCUACUUGAGUGUUGAACGGGUGAGUAGCACAUGUGUGAUCUGCCUUGCUCUCUGGGAUAUUCCUGGGAAUCUGGGUCUAAUACUGGAUAUGACUACCGGUUGCUUGGGUGGUGUGGAAGCUUUUGCGGUGUGAGAUGGGCCCGCGGCCUAUGGACUUGUUGGUGGGGUAAUGGCCUACCAAGGCGACGACGGCUACCCGACCUAAGAGGGUGAUCGGCCAGAUUGGGACUGAUACACCUGCCACACUCCUACGGCACGUACUCCUGGGGAAUAUUGCACAAUGGGCGCAAGCCUGAUGCAUCAAAGCCUCAUGAGGCAUGACCGCCUUCGGGUUGUAAACCUCUUUCUCCUGGGACUAUGCGCAAGUGACAGUACCUGUAGAAUAAGCACCGGCCAACUACUUGCCUCCCCCGCGGUAAUACCUAGGGUGCGAGCGUUGUCCGGAAUUACUGGGCGUAAAGAGCUCGUACGCGGUUUGUCUCGUCGUCUGUGAAAUCCUGCAACUCUAUUGCCUGCGUGCAGGCGAUACCGGCCCACUUGAGUACUACAGGGGAGACUGGAAUUCCUGGUGUUGCGGUGAAAUGCACAGAUAUCUCGAUCCACACCGGUGGCUAAGGUGGGUCUCUGGGUAGUAACUGACGCUGAGGAACGUCUCGUGCUGACCGAACACUAUUACAUACCCUGCUAAUCCAGCCCAUCAAAAGUGAUUACUUUGUGUGGGAUCCAUUUUCACUAUUUCUGUGCCGUACUUGCUGGUUAGGUACCCCGCCUGGGGAUUACAGCCGCCAGGCAUAACUCAGCGAAUUGACUGGGGUCCCCAAAAGUG
rnacentral:rRNA from 1 species